rnacentral:lncRNA from 1 species
UUCAAGGUCAAAAGUCACAAAAAUAUCACUUAAUGUUUUAUCAAAAGUCACAAACUUAGGGUUUAGAGUUAAAGGGUGGGGUUUAAGAUUUGGGGUUUAGGGUUUAGGGUUUAGGGUUAAGGGUUUAGGGUUUAGAGUUUAGGGUUUAGGGUUUAGUGUUUAGGGUUUAGAGUUUAGAGUUUAGGGUUUAGGGUUUAGAGUUUAGGGAUUAGGGUUUAGAGUUUAGGGUUUAGGGUUUAGAGUUUAGGGUUUAGGGU